AGGUGAUUUUGGCGUGUCCGGCAGGGGCUUCUGGCGAGUCGAGCAGGUGGUUCCGGCGUGCUCGGCAGGUCCUUCCAGUGUCAUUGGCAUGUGGUUCUGGAAUGUCUGAGAGGUGGUUCUGGCAUGCCCGGCAGGUGAUUCCGGAGUGUUCGCCAAGUGGUUCUGGCAUAGCCGGCAGGUGAUUUUGGCGUGUCAGGUAGGUGGUUCCGGCGUGCUUGGCAGGUGGUUCAGGCGGUCUGGCAUGUGGUUUUGGUCUGUUCGGGGUGUGGUUCCGGCAUCUCAGGCACAUGGUUCUGGCACGUCUGACAGGUGGUUCCGGCUGGCCCGACAGAUGUUUCCGGAGUGUCCGCCAAGUAGUUCUGGCGUAGCUGGCAGGUGAUGUUGGCAUGACCGGCAGGUGGUUCCAGCCAGAACGGCAGGUGAUUCCGAAGUGUUCACCAACUGGUUGUGGCGUAGCCUGUAGGUGAUUUUGGCAUGUCCGGCAGGUGGUUCUGGCGAGUGGAGCAGGUGGUUCCAGCGUGCUUGGCAUGUGCUUCCGGUGUCAUUGGCAGGUGUUUGUGGCAUGUCUGAGAGGUGUUUCCGGGAUGCCCAGCAGGUGAUUCAGGAGUAGUCGCCAAGUCUUUCUGGUAUACCUGGUAGGUGAUUUUGGCAUGUCAGGAAGGUGGUUCCGGCUCGUUGAGCAGGUGGAUCAGGCGUGCUCGCCAGGGGAUUCAGGCGGGUCUGGCAGGUGGUUUCGGUCUGUUCGGGGUGUGGUUCCGGCAUCUCAGGCACAUGGUUCUGGCACGUCUGAGAGUUGGUUGCGGCCGGCCCGACAGGUGUUUCCGGAGUGUCCGCCAAGUGGUUCUGGCGUAGCUGGCAGGUGAUGAUGGCGUGACCGGCAGGUGGUUCCAGCCAGCCCGGCAGGUGAUUCCGAAGUGUUCACCAAAUGGUUGUGGCGUAGCCUGCAGGUGAUUUUGGCGUGUCCAGCAGGUGGUUCUGGAGAGUCGAGCAGGUGGUUCCGGCGUGCUCGGCAUGUGCUUCCGUUGUCAUUGGAAUGUGGUUCUGGCAUCCCUGAGAGGUGGUUCCGGCAUGCCCGGCAGGUGAUUCCAGAGUGCUCGCCAAGUGGUUCUGGGGUAGCCGGCAGGUGAUUUUGCAUGUCGGGCGGUGGUUCCGGCGAGUCGAGCCGGUGGUUCCAGCGUGUCCAUCAGGUGGUUCCUGUCUGUCCUGGAGGGGGUUCCGGAGUGUCUGCCGAGUGGUUCUGGCGUAGCUGGCAUGUGAUUUUGGCGUGUCCAGCAGGUCGUUCUGGGGAGUGGAGCACGUGGUUCCGGCAUACUCGGCAGGUGGUUCUGGCGUGUCCGGCACAUGGUACUGGAACGUCUGAGAGGUGGUCCUGGCAUGCCCGGCAUGUGAUCCCGGAGAGUCCUCCAAGUGGUUCUGGCAUACCCCGCAGGUGGUUCUGGUGUGUCCGGCAGGUGGUUCCAGUCUGUCUGGCAUGUGGUUCUGGGAUGUCCAGCACGAGGUUCUGGCACGUCUGAUAGGUUGUGCCAUCAUGCCCAAAACAUUAUUCCGGCUUGUACUCAAAGUGAUUCUGGUGUAGCCGGCAGGUGAUUUUGGCAUGUCCGGCAGGUGGUUCAGGCGUGCUCAGCAGGUGGUUCCAGUCUGUGCAGUACAUGUUUCCAGCUUGUCCGGCAAGUGGUACUGGUACGUCUGAGAGGUGGUUCCGGCAUGCCCGGCAGGUGAUCCCGGAGAGUACUCCAAGUGGUUCUGGCGUACCCUGCAGGUGUGUCUGGUGUGUCCGGCAGGUGGCUCUGGUGAGUCGAGCAGGUGGUUCCGGCGUGCUCGGCAGGUGGUUCCGGCAGGUCCGGCAGGUGUUUGCCGUCUGUCCAUGACGUGGUUCCGGCAUGCCCGCAAGGUGAUUCUGGAGUGUCCACCAAGUGGUUUUGGCGUAGCCGGCAUAUGAUUUUGGCCUGUGAGGCAGGUGGUUCCGGCAUGUCCAGCAGGUGGUUCCGGCGAGCUCGGCAGGUGCUUCCGGUCUCUCCGGCACGUGGUUGUGGCACGUCUGAGAGAUGGUUCCGGCAUGCCCGGCAGGUGAUUCCGGAGUCUCCAGCAUGUUGUUCUGGCACCUCUGAGAGGUGGUUCCGGCAUGCCCGGCAGCUGAUUCCGGAGUGUCCGGCAUGUGGUUCUGUCACCUCUGAGAGGUGGUUCCGGAAUGCCUGGCAUGUGAUUCCGGAGUGUCUUCCAAGUGGUUCUGGCGUAGCCGGCAUGUGAUUCUGGCGUGUCCAGCAUGUGGUUCUGGGGAGUGUAUCAGGUGGUUCCGGCAUACUCGGCAGGUGGUAUCGGCAUGUCCGGAACAUGGUUCUGGCAAGUCUGAGAGGUGGUUCUGGCAUGCCCGGCAGGUGAUUUCUGGCGUGUCCGGCAGGUGUUUCUUGCGAGUUGAGCAGGUGGCUCAGGCAUGCUCAGCUGGUGCUUUCAGCAUGUCCGUCACGUGGUUCUGGUGUGUCUGAGAGCUGGUUCUGGCAUGUCCAGCAGAUGGUUCUGGAGUGUCCACCAAGUGGUUCUGGUGUAGCUGGCAGGUGAUGUUGGCGUGACCGGCAGGUGAUUCCAGCAAGCCCGGCAGGUGAUUCAGAAGUGUUCACCAACUGGUUGUGGCGUAGCCGGCAGGUACUUUUGGCGUGUCCGGCAGGUGGUUCUGGGGAGUGGAUCAGGAACUUCCGGCAUUCUCGGCAGGUGCUUCCGCCGUCUCCGGCAUGUGGUUGUGGCACCUCUGAGAGGUGUUUCCAGCAUGCCCAGCAGGUGAUUCCGGAGUGUCCGACAAGUGGUUGUGGCGUAGCCGGCUGGUGAUUCUGGCAUGUCCGGCAGGUGGUUCUGCGAAGUCAAGCAGGUGGUCCCGGCGUGUCCGGCAGGUGUUUCCGGUCUGUCCUGGAGGUGGUUCCGGAGUGUCUGCCAAGUGGUUCUGGCGUAGCUGGCAGGUGAUGUUGACGUGUCAAGCAGGUGGUUUUCGCGAGUCGAUCAGGUGGUUCUGGCGUGCUCGGCAGGUGCUUCCGGUGUCAUUGGCAUGCGGUUCCGUCAUGUCUGAGAUGUGGUUCCGCCAUGCCCGGCAGGUGAUUCCGGAGUGUUCGCCAAGUGGUUCUGGCGUAGCCGGCAGGUGAUUUUGCAUGUCCGGCAAUUGUUCCGGCGAGUCGAGCCGGUGGUUCCGGCGUGUCCGGCAGGUGGUUCCGGUCUGUCCAGCAGGUGGUUCUGGGGUGUCUGGCACGAGGUUCUGGCACGUCUGAGAGGUUGUGUCGGCAUGCACUUCACGUGAUUCCGGCUUGUCCGCCAAGUGGUUCUGGUGUAGCAUGCAGGUGAUUUUGGUGUGUCCGGCAGGUGGGACCGGUGAGUCAAGCAGUUGGUUCCGGAAAUUGUUUCCUGUGUUUGUGGUCUGUCCGGGAGAUGGUUCCGGCCUGUCCGGCACGUGCUUCUGGCACUUCUGAGAGGUUGUGCUGGCAUGCCCGGCAGGUGAUUCUGGAGUGUUCGGCAAGUGUUUCUGGCGUUGCCGGCAGGUGAUUUUGGCGUGUCCGGCAGGUGGUUAUGGGGAGUGGAUCAGGAACUUCCGGCAUUGUGGGCAGGUGCUUCCGCUGUCUCCGGCAUGUGGCUGAGGCACCUCUGAGAGGUGGUUCCAGCAUGCCCGGCAGGUGAUUCCGGAGCGUCCGACAAGUGGUUGUGGCGUAGCCGGCUGGUGAUUCUGGCAUGUCCGACAGGUGGUUCUGGCGAAUCAAGAAGGUGGUCCCGGCGUGUCCGGCAGGUGGUUCCGGUCUGUCCUGGAGGUGGUUCCUGAGUGUCUGCCGAGUGGUUCUGGCGUAGCCAGCAGGUGAUUUCGGCGUGUCCAGCAGGUGGUUCUGGGGAGUGCAGCCAGUGGUUCCAGCAUACUCGGCAGGUGGUUGCUGCGUGUCCGGAACAUGGUUCUGGCACGUCUGAGAGGUGGUUGCGGCCGGCCCGACAGGUGUUUCCGGAGUGUCCGCCAAGUGGUUCUGGCGUAGCUGGCAGGUGAUGUUGGCGUGACCAGCAGGUGCUUCCAGCAAGCCCGGCAGGUGAUUCCGGAGUGUCUGCCGAGUGGUUUUUGCGUAGCCAGCAGGUGAUUUUGGCGUUCCAGCAGGUGGUUCUGGCGAGCUUGGCAGGUGGUACCGGCGUGUCCGGAACAUGGUUCUGGCACGUCUGAGAGAUGGUUCCGGCAUGCCAGGCAGGUGAUUCCGGAGUGUCCGGCAUGUGCUUCUGGCACCUCUGUGAGGUGGUUCUGGAAUGCCCGGCAGGUGGUUCCGGAGUGUCUGCCGAGUGGUUCUGGCGUAGCCGGCAGGUGAUUCUGGCGUGUCCAGCGGGUGGUUCUGGGGAGUGGAUCAGGUGGUUCCGGAAUCCUCGGCAGGUGGUACCGGCGUGUCCGGAACAUGGUUCCGGCCAUUCUGAGAGGUGGUUCCCCCAUGCCCGGCAGGUGAUUCCGGAGUGUUCGCCAAGUGGUUCUGGCGUAGCCGGCAGGUGAUUUUGCAUGUCCGGCGGUGGUUCCGGCGAGUCGAGCAGGUGGUUCCGGCGUGUCCGGCAGGUGGUUCUGGCGUGUCCGGCACGAGGUACCGGCAUGUCUGAGAGGUGAUUCCAGCAUGCCCGACAGGUGAUUCCGGAGUGUCCGCCACGUGGUUCUGGCGUACCCGGCAGGUGAUUUUGGCGUGUCUGGCAGGUGUUUGUUGCAAAUCGAGCAUGUGGCUCAGGCAUGCUCAGCAGGUGCUUCCGGCGUGUCCGGCACGUGGUUCUGGUGUGUCUGAGAGCUGGUUCUGGCAUGUCCAGCAGAUGAUUCCGGAGUGUCCACCAAGUGGUUCUGGCAUACCCGGCAGGUGACUUUGGCGUGUCAGGUAGGUGGUUCCCGCGAGUCGAGUAGGUGGUUCCGGCGGGUCUGGCAGGUGGUUUCGGUCUUUUCGGGGUGUGGUUCCGGCAUCUCAGGCACAUGGUUCUCCCACAUCUGAGAGGUGGUUCCGGCCGACCCGACUGGUGUUUCCAUGGUGUCCGCCAAGUGGUUCUGGCAUAGCUGGCAGGUGAUGUUGGCGUGACCGGCAGGUGGUUCCAGCCAGCCCAGCAGGUGAUUCCGAAGUGUUCACCCAGUGGUUGUGGCGUAGCCGGAAGGUGAUUUUGGCAUGUCCAGCAGGUGGUUUUGGCGAGUCGAUCAGGUGGUUCUGGCGUGCUCGGCAGGUGCUUCCGGUGUCAUUGGCAUGUGAUUCCGGCAUGUCUGAGAGGUGGUUCCGCCAUGCCCGGCAGGUGAUUCCGGAGUGUUCGCCAAGUGGUUCUGGCGUAGCCGGCAGUUGAUUUUGGCAUGUCCAGUAGGUGGUUCUGGGGAGUGGAUCAGCUGGUUCCGGCAUACUCGGCAGGUGGUACCGGCGUGUCCAGAACAUGGCUCUGGCAAGUCUGAGAGGUGGUUCCGGCAUGCCCGACAGGUGAUUCCGGAGUGUCCGCCAAGUGUUUCUGGCGUACCCGGCAGGUGAUUUUGGCAUGUCUGACAGGUGAUUCUUGCGAGUCGAGCAGGUGGCUCAGGCAUGCUCAGCUGGUGCUUCUGGCGUCUCUGGCACGUGGUUCUGGUGUGUCUGAGAGCUGGUUCUGGCAUGUCCGGCAGAUGAUUCCGGAGUGUCCACCAAGUGGUUCUGGUAUACCCCACAGGGGAUUUUGGCGUGUCAGGAAGGUGGUUCCGGCUAGUUGAGCAGGUGGAUCAGGCGUGCUCGCCAGGGGGUUCAGGCGGGUCUGGCAGGUGUUUUCGUUCUGUUCGGGGUGUGGUUCCGGCAUCUCAGGCACAUGAUUCUGGCACGUCAGAGAUGUGGUUCUGGCCGGCCCGACAGGUGUUUCCGGAGUGUCUGCCAAGUGGUUCUGGCAUAGCUGGCAGGUGGUACCGGCGUGUCCGGAACAUGUUUCUGGCAAGUCUGAGAGGUGGUUCCGGCAUGCCCGACAGGUGAUUCCGGAGUGUCCGGGAUGUGGUUCUGGCACCUCUGAGAGGUGGUUCCUGCAUGCCAGACAGGUGAUUCUGGAGUGUCCGCUGAGUGGUUCUGGCGUACCUGGCAGGUGAUUUUGGCGUGUCCGGCAGGUGUUUCUUGCGAGUCGAGCAGGUGGCUCAGGCAUGCGCAGCAGGUGCUUCCGGCGUGUCGGGCACAUGAUUCUGGUGUGUCUGAGAGCUGGUUCUUGCAUGUCCGGCAGAUGAUUCCGGAGUUUCCACCAAGUGGUUCUGGCAUACCCGGCAGUUGAUUUUGGCGUGUCAGGUAGGUGGUUCCGGCGAGUCGAGGAGGUCGUUCCGGCGUGCUCAGCAGGUGGUUCAGGCGGGUCUGGCAGGUGGUUUCUGUCUGUUCGGGGUGUGGUUCUGGCAUCUCAGGCACAUGGUUCUGGCUCGUCUGAGAGUUGUUUCCCUUCGGCCGGACAGGUGUUUCCGGAGUGUCCGCCAAGUGGUUCUGGCGUAGCUGGCUGGUGAUGUUUGCGUGACCGGCAGGUGAUUCCGAAGUAUUCACCAACUGAUUGUGGCCUAGCCGGCAGGUGAUUUUGGCGUGUCUGGCAGGUGGUUCUGGCGAGUCGAGCAGGUGGUUCCAGCGUGCUCGGCAGGUGCUUCCGGUGUCAUUGGCAUGUGGUUCUGGCAUGUCUGAGAGGUGGUUCUGGCAUGCCCGGCAGGUGAUUCCGGAGUGUUCGCCAAAUGGUUCUGGGGUAGCCGGCAGGUGAUUUUGCAUGUCCGGCGGUGGUUCCUGCCAGUCGAGCCGGUGGUUCCGGCGUGUCGGGCAGGUGGUUCCGGUGUGUCCGGCAGGUGGUUCUGGGGUUUCCGGCACGAGUUUCUGGCACGUCUGAGAGGUUGUGUCGGCAUGCCCUUCACGUGAUUCCGGCUUGUCCGUCAAGUGGUUCUGGUGUAGCCGGCAGGUGAUUUUGGCGUGUCAGGUAAGUGGUUCCGGCGAGUCGAGCAGGUGGUUGCAGCAUGCUUGGCAGGUGGUUCUGGUUUGUCUGGCAGGUGGUUUCCGUCUGUUGGGGUGUGCUUCCGGCAUCUCAGACACAUGGUUCUGGCACGUCUGAGAGGUGGUUCCGGCCGGCCCGACAGGAGUUUCCGGAGUGUCCGCCAAGUGGUUCUGGCGUAGCUGACAGGUGAUGUGGGUGUGACCGGCAGGUGUUUCCAGCCAGCCCGGCAGGUGAUUCCGAAGUGUUCACCAACUGGUUGUGGCGUAGCCGGCACGUGAUUUUGGCAUGUCCGGCAGGUGGUUCUGGCAAGUCGAGCAGGUGGUUCUGGCGUGCUCGGCAGGUGCUUCUGGUGCCAUUGACAUGGGGUUCUGGCAUAUCUGAGAGGUGCUUUCGCCAUGCCUGGUAGGUGAUUCCGGAGUGAUCGCCAAGUGUUUCUGGCGUAGCCGGCAGGUGAUUUUGCAUAUCCGGCGGUGGUUCUGGCGAGUCGAGCCGGUGGUUCCGGCGUUUCCGGCAGGUGGUUCCGGUCUGUCCUGGAGGUGUUUCCGGAGUGUCUUCCUAGUGGUUCUGGCAUAGCCGGCAGGUGAUUUUGGCGUGUCCAGCAGGUUUUUUUGGGGAGUGGAUCAGGUGGUUCUGGCAUACUCGGCAGGUGGUACCGGCGUGUCCGGAACAUAGUUCUGGCACGUCUGAGAGGUUGUGUCAGCAUGCCCUUCACGUGAUUCCGGCUUGUCCGCCAAGUGGUUCUGGUGUACUGGGCAGGUGAUUUUGGCGUGUCUGGCAGGUGGGACCGGUGAGUCAAGCAGGUGGUUCUGGCGAGUGUUUCCUGUGGUUCCGGUCUGUCCGGGAGAUGGUUCCGGCCUGUCCGGCACGUGCUUCUGGCACUUUUGAGAGUUUGUGCUGGCAUGCCCGGCAGGUGAUUCUGGAGUGUCCGUCAAGUGGUUCUGGCGUAGCCGGCCCGUGAUUUUGGCAUGUCCGGCAGGUGGUUCUGUGGAGUGGAGCAGGAACUUCUGGCAUUCUCGGCAGGUGCGUCCGCCGUCUCCGGCAUGUGUUUGUGGUACCUCUGAGAGGUGGUUCCAGCAUGCCCAGAAGGUGAUUCCGGAGUGUCCGACAAGUGGUUGUGGCGUAGCCAGCUGGUGAUUUUGGCGUUUCCGGCACGUGGUUCUGACGAGUCAAGCAGGUGGUCCCGGCGUGUCCGGUCGGUGGUUCCGGUAUGUCCUGGAGUUGGUUGCGGAGUGCUCGGGAGGUCCUUCCGGUGUCAUUGGCAUGUGGUUCUGGCAUGUCUGAGAGGUGGUUCCGGCAUGCCCGGCCGGUGAUUCCGGAGUGUUCGCCAAGUUGUUCUGGCAUAGAGGGCAGGUGAUUUUUUCGUGUCAGGUAGGUGGUUCUGGUGAGUUGAGCAGGUGGUUCCGGCGUGCUUGGCAGGUGCUUCUGGUGCCAUUGACAUGUGGUUCUGGCAUGUCUGAGAGGUGGUUCCGGCGUGUCUGGCACGUGCUGCUGGUAUGUCUCAGUGGUGGGUCCUGCAUGCCCGGCCGGUGAUCCCGGAGAUUCCUCCAAGUGAUUCUGUCAUAACCGGCAGGUGAUUUUGGCAUGUUCAGCUGGUGGUUCCAGCCUGGUCGGCAGGUGCUUCCGGCGUCUCCAGCACGUGUUCCUGGCACAUCCGACAGGUGGUUCCGGCAUGCCCGAAAGGUGAUUCCGGUCUGUCCGGUAGGUCGUUCCGGAGUGCACAGCACGUGGUUCUGGUAGGUCUCAGAGGUGGUUGCGCAUGCCCAACAGGUGAUUCCGGAGUGUCCGGCAAGUGGUUCUGGCGUACCCGGAGGUGUUUUUGGUGAGUCCGGCAGGUAAUUCCGGAGUGUCAGGUAAGUGGUUCUGGUGUAUCUGGCAGAUCAUUUUGGCGCGUCCGGCACGUGGGUCCUGCAAGUCGAGCAGGUGGUUCCGGCAUGCUCGGCAGGUGGUCCAGGCGUGUCCGGCAGGUGGUUGCAGUCUGUCCAGGACGUGGUUCCAGCGUGUCCGGCACGUGGUUCUGUUACGUCUGAGAAGUGGUUCCUGCAUGCCCGGCAGGUGAUUCCGGACUGUCCACCAGGUGGUUCCCGCAUAGCCAGCUGUUGAUUUUGGACUGUCCGGCAGGUGGUUCCGGCGAGUCGAGCAGGUGGCUCCGGCGUGCUCAGCAGGUGGUUCCGGUCUGUCCGGUAGGUGUUUCCGGCGUGUCCGGCACGUGCUUCCAGCACGUCUGAGAGGUGGUUCCGCCAUGCGCGGCAGGUGAUUCUGGAGUGUCCGCCAGGUGGUUCUGGCGUACACGGCAGGUGAUUUUGGCGUGUCCGGCAGGUGUUUCUGGUGAGUCAAGCAGGUGGAUCCGGCAUGCUCGGCAGGUGCUUCCGGCGUGUCCGGCACGUGGUUCUGGUGUGUCUGAGAGCUGGUUCCGCCAUGUCCGGCACAUGAUUCCGGAGUGUCCGCCAAGUGGUUCUGGUGGAGCCGACAGGUGAUUUUGGCAGGUCCAGCAGGCGGGUCCUGCGUGUCGAGCAGGUGGUUCCUGCAUGCUCGGCAAGUGGUUCCGGCGUGUCCGGCAGGUUCUUCUGGUCUGUCUGGGAGCUGGUUCCUGCAUGGCUGGCAUGUUGUUCUGGCACGUCUGUGAGGUGCUUCGGGCGUGCCCGGCAGGUGAUCCCUGGGUGUCCGCCAAGUGGUUCUGGCGUCACCGGCAGGUUAUUUUGGUGUGUCCGGGAGAUCUUUCCUGCUUUUUGGGCUCGUGGCUCUGGCUUGUAAGACAGGUGCUUGUGGCAUUUCUGGCCCCCGUUCUUACAUACUCCUCAGCUGGUUUCAGUGUUUCUGGCACAUGUUUGCGGCAUAUCCAACAGGUGUUUACAAUGUGUCUGGCAUGUCGUUGUGCUGUGUUUGGAAUCAGGUUCGGUCAUGUCAUUGUGUGUGGCUGGCAUGUUGAAGAGAUGGUUCUGCAGUCUCAGAAUCGUUGUUCCACUGUGUCCGGCAGGUGGUUACAGGUGGUUCUGGCAUGCAACGUGGGUGCUUCUGGUAUGCCUGUUGGGUCGUACAGGCAUGAAUGUGUGGCUUUUUGAGAGUGUGCAGAGAGUGUUUUUGGCAUGUCUCCCGGGGUUUUCUGGCACAUAAAGGGCAUGAUUCCUUUUUAUACGUCAGGUGAGUUUGUUCUCAGCUUCCUAAAGAGAUGGAAGAAAGAUGGUCUGUGGCUUGUGGCCCCUUGAGGGGUGGAGCCAAUGCAUUGUGCAUUCCACGUCUAGAGCAAUGGAGGGCAUGGUUGAGAGCAAAAGGGUCUUUCUGACAUAGCUGCAUUCUGAGACUCUCUCCACCAGUGCACAAUGGUGGUUGGAAAAAGGUUUACAGUCUAUCGCCUCCUGAGCAGGUGGAUGCUAAAUCAUUUGGGACUCAGCCCAGUUGCUUCAGGGGAAGAUGUAGGCAUUUCAUCUGAGCAAGGUUGGCAAGGUAGAAUUGCAGCAGUGGCAGAAGUCCUAAAGCGGCAAAUUAAGUGCUGGGAAGAAAUGGCGUUUGAGCUGACUUUGUAUGAGAGUUUCCUCGUAUGCUGUAACAGCACUGUGGAAAGCGAGAUCUUUCUCAGCUUCCUACAGAGCUGGAAGCAGGACAGUUGAUGGCUUGUCUCCAAUUGAAGGAUGGAGAUAGUGCUUUGUGCCUUCCACCUCUGGAGCAAUGGAGGUCAUGGCUGAGAGCAAAGGGCCCUUUCUGACAUAGGUGCACUCUGACACUCUCAGCACCAGUGCACAAUGGCGGUUUGUAAAAAGCCUAUUGUCUGCUCCUGCUAAGCAUGUGGAAGCAGAAUCAUCUGGGCCUCGUGCCCGUUGCUGAAGGGGAAGAUGUAGGCAUUUUGUCUGAGCCAGGUUGCCAAGGUGGAAAUGUGCAGGAUGCAGAAGUCCCAGACUGGGGUGUGAAGUGAUGAAGGAAACGGUGUUCAGCCUCCUUUGUAUGAGAUGUUCCCAGGACGCUGUAAGGGCACUGUGGAAAGGGAGUUUUUUCUCAGCUUCCUACAGAGCUGGAAGCAGGACAAGAUGUUGUUUGUCUCCUAUUGAGGGGUGGAUCCAGAGCCAGUGCCUUGUGCCUUCCACCUGUAGAGCAAUGAAGGGCACGGCUGUGAGCAAAGGGGCCUUUCUGACAUAGCUUCUUUACGAAAAUCUCUCCAGCAGUGCACAUUGGUGGUUGGAAAAAGGCGUGCAGUCUAUCGCCUCCUAAGCACGUGGACGCUCAAUCAUUUGGGACUCAGCCCAGUUGCUUCAGGGGAAGAUGUAGGCAUUUCGUCUGAGCCGGAUUGGCAAGGUGGAAUGGCGGCAGAAGCAGAAGUCCUAAAGCUGCGAGUUAAGCACUGGGAAGAAAUGGCGUUUGAGCUGCCUUUGUAUGAGAGGUACCUGGUAUGCUGUAAGGGGACUGUGGAAAGCGAGUUGUUCGUCAGCUUCCUAAAGAGCUGGAGGCAAGACAAUAUAUGGCUUGUCUCCCAUUGAAGGAUGGAGGCAGUGCUUUGUGCCUUCCACCUGCAGAGCAAUGGAGGGCACAGCUGAGAGCCAAGGGGGCUUUCUGCCAUAGGUGCUUUCUGAUCCCCUUCAGGGGUGGUGCCAGUGCCUUGUGCCUCCUACCUCUAGAGGAAUGGAGGGCACGGCCGAGAGUAAAGGGCCUUUCCGACAUUGGUGCCUUCUGACACUCCCCAAACCACUGCUCAAGGUCGGUUGGUUAAAAGCCCAUUGUCUGUCUCCUCCUCAGCAUGUGGAACCACAAUCAUCCGGGCGUCGUCCCCAUUGCUCAAGGGGAAGAUGUAGGCAUUUUGUCUGAGCCGGGUUGGCAAGAUGGAAAUGUGGCAGAAGCGGAUGUUGCAGAUUGGUGAGUUAAGGGCUGAAAUGACACGGCGUUAAGUUGUCUUUGUAUGUGAUGUUCCCAGGAUGCUGUAAGAGCACUGUGAAAUGCGAGUGCCUUCCCAGCUUCCUAAAGAGCUGGAAGGAGGACAGUUUAUUGCUUUUCUCCAAUUGAAGGAUGGAGGCAGUGCUUUGUGCCUUCCACCUCUAGAGCAAUGGAGGGCACGUCUGAGAUGAAAGGGACCUUUCUGACAUAGGUGCAUUGUGACACCCUCUGCACCAGUGCACAAUGGCAGUUUGUAAAAAGCCUAUUGUCUCCUCUUGCUAAACAUGUGGAGGCACAAUCAUCUGGGCCUCGUUCCCGUUGCUGAAGGGGAAGAUGUAGGCAUUUUGUCUGAGCCGGGUUGGCAAGGUGUAAAUCUGGCAAGCAGAAGUUCUAAAUCAGCGAGUUAAGCGCUGAAAAGAAACGGCAUAUCAGCAGCCUUUGUAUGAGAUGUUGCCAGGACACAGAAAGAGCACUGGUGAAAGCGAGUUCUUUCUCAGCUUCCUAAAGAGAUGGAAGGAAGAUGGCCUGUGGGUUGUGGAACUUUGAGGGGUAGAGCCAGUGCAUUGUGCAUUCCACGUCUAGAGCAAUGGAGGGCAGAGCUGAGAGCAAAGGGGUCUUUCUGACACAGCUGCUUUCCAACACUCUCUCCACCAGUGCACAAUGGAGGUUGGAAAAAGGCGUGCAGUCUAUCACCUCCUAAGCACGUGGACGCUCAAUCAUUUUGGACACAGCCCAGUUGCUUCAGGGGAAGAUGUAGGCAUUUCGUCUCACCGGGUUGGCAAGGUGGAAUUGCGGCAGAAGCAGAAGUCCUAAAGCGGCGAGUUAAGCACUGGUAAGAAAUGGCGUUUGAGCUGCAUUUGUAUGAGUGUUUCCUCAUAUGCUUAAACAGCACUGUGGAAAGCGAGUUCUUUCUCAGCUUCCUAAAGAGCUGGAAGCAAGACAGUUUAUGGCUUGUUUCGCAUUGAAGGAUUGAGGCAGUCCUUUGUGCCUUCCAGCUCUAGAGCAAUGGAGGGCAUGGCUGAGAGCAAAGGGGUCUUUCUGCCAUUGGUGCUUUCUGACACUCUCUCAACCAUUGCACUUGGUGGUUAGUUAAAAGCCUAUUGUCUCUCUCCUCCUCAGCAUGUGGAACCACAAUCAUCCGGGCCUCGUCCCAAUUGCUCAAGGGGAAUCUGUAGGCAUUUCGUCUGAGCCGGGUUGGCAAGGUGGAAUUGUGGCAGAAGCAGAAGUUCUAAAGUGGCGAGCUAAGGCCUGGCAAGAAAGGCCGUUUGACCUUCAUUUGUAUGACAGUUUCCCCAUAGGAUUUUCCCAGGAGCCGAGCAGGUGUUUCUGGCAUUCUCGGCAGGAUGUUCGUGCGUGUCCGGCCGGUGGCUCCAGUCUGUCCAGGAUGUGGUUCCGGCGUGUCUGGCACGUGCUUCUGGUACGUCUCAGAGUUGGUUCCGGCAUGCCCGGCCGGUGAUCCCGGAGAGUCCUCCAAGUGAUUCUGGCAUUACCGGCAGGUGAUUUUGGCGUGUUCGGCUGGUGGUUCCAGCCUGGUCGGCAGGUGGUUCUGGCGUGUCCGGCACUUGGUUCUGGCACGUCUGAGACAUGGUUCCGGCAUGCCCACCAGGUGAUCCCGGAGAGUCCGACAAGUGGUUCAGGCCUAGCAGGCAGGUGAUUUUGGCGUGUCCGGCAGUUGUUUCUGGCGAGUCGAGCAGGUGGCUCCGGCAUGCUCGGCAGGUGCUUGCGGCGUCUCCGGCACGUGGUUCUGGUGUGUCUGAGAGCUGGUUCCCGCAUGUCCGGCAGAUGAUUCCGGAGUGUCCGCCAAGUGGUUCUGGCAUACCCGGCAGGUGAUUUUGGUGUGUCAGGUCGGUGGUUCCGGCGAGUCGAUCAGGUGGUUCCGGCGUGCUCGGCAGGUGGUUCAGGCGGGUCUGCCAGGUGGUUCCCGUCUGUUCAGGGUGUGGAUCCGGCAUCUCAUGCACAUGGUUCUGGCACAUCUGAGAUGUGGUUCCGGCCGGCCCGACAGGUGUUUCCGCAGUGUCCGCCAAGCGGUUCUGGCGUAGUUGGCAGGUGAUUUUGGCAUGACCGGCAGGUGGUUCCAGCAAGCCCGGCAGGUGAUUCCGAAGUGUUCACCAACUGGUUGGGGCGUAGCCGUCUGGUGACUUUUGCGUGUCCGGCAGGUGGUUCUGGCGAGUCGAGCAGGUGGUUCCGGUGUGCUCGGCAGGUGCUUCCGGGGUCACUGGCAUAUUGUUCUGGCAUGUCUGAGAGGUGGUUCCGGCAUGCCCGGCAGGUGAUUCCGGAGUGUUCGCCAAGUGGUUCUGGCAUAGCUGGCAGGUGAUUUUGCAUGUCCGGCGGUGGUUCCGGCGGGUCGAGCCGGUGGUUCUGGCGUGUCCGGCAGGUGGUUGCGGUCUGUCCGGCAGGUGGUUCUGGGGUGUCCGGCACGAGGUUCUGGCACGUUUGAGAGGCUGUGCCGGCAUGCCCCUCACGUGAUUCCGGCUUGUCCCCCAAGUGGUUCUGGUGUAGCUGGCAGGCAAUUUGGGCAUGUCCUGCAGGUGGGACCGGUGAGUCAAGCAGGUGGUUCCGGGGAGUGUUUCCUGUGGAUCCGGUCUGUCCGGGAGAUGGUUCCGGCCUGUCCGGCACGUGCUUCUGGCACUUCUGAGAGGUUGUGCUGGCAUGCCCGGCAGGUGGUUCCGGAGUGUCCUCCAAGUGGUUCUGGCGUAGCCGUCAGGUGAUUUUGCCAUGUCCGGCAUGUGGUUGCAGCGAGUCGAGCAUGUGUUUCCGGCGUCCUCGACAGUUGGUUCAGGCACGUCCGGCAGGUUGUUCCGGUCUGUCCUGGAGUUGGUUCCGGCGUGUCCGGCACGUGGUUCAGGCGAGUUGAGCAGGUGGUUUUGACGUGCUCGGCAGGUGCUUCCGGCGUCUCCGGCACGUGUUUCUGGCACAUCUGACAGGUGGUUCCGGCCUGCCCGAAAGGUGAUUCCCGUCUUUCCGGUAGGCGGUUCCGGCGUGCACAGCUCGUGGUUCUGGUACAUCUCAGAGGUGGUUGCGCAUGCCCAACAGGUGAUGCCGGAGUGUCGGGUAGUGGUUCUGGUGUAGCCGGCAGUUCAUUUUGGCGUGUCCGGCACGUGGGUCCUGCGAGUCGAGCAGGUGGUUCCGGCGUGCUCGGCAGGUGGUCCAGGCGUGUCCAGCAGGUGGUUCCAGUCUGUCCAGGACGUGCUUCUAGCGUGUCUGGCACGUGGUUCUGUUACGUCUGAGUGGUGGUUCCUGCAUGCCCGGCAGGUGAUUCCGGACUGUCCGCCAGGUGGGUCCCGCAUAGCCAGCUGUUGAUUUUGGCCUGUCCGGCAGGUGGUUCCGGCAUGCUCGGCAGGUGGUUUCGGUCUGUCCGGUAGUUGUUUCCAGCGUGUCCGGCACGUGCUUCCGGCACGUCUGAGAGGUGGUUCCGGCAUGCACGGCAGGUGAUUCUGGAGUGUCCGCCAGGUGGUUCUGGCGUACCCAGCAGGUGAUUUUGGCAUGUCAGGUAGGUGGUUCCGGCAAGUCGAGCAGGUGGUUCCGGCGUGCUCGGCAGGUUGUUCAGCUGGGUGUGGCAGGUCCCUCUAAGAAGUUGGGGGACGCCGACCGCUCGGGGGUCGCGUAACUAGUUAGCAUGCCAGAGUCUCGUUCGUUAUCGGAAUUAACCAGACAAAUCGCUCCACCAACUAAGAACGGCCAUGCACCACCACCCACGGAAUCGAGAAAGAGCUAUCAAUCUGUCAAUCCUGUCCGUGUCCGGGCCGGGUGAGGUUUCCCGUGUUGAGUCAAAUUAAGCCGCAGGCUCCACUCCUGGUGGUGCCCUUCCGUCAAUUCCUUUAAGUUUCAGCUUUGCAACCAUACUCCCCCCGGAACCCAAAGACUUUGGUUUCCCGGAAGCUGCCCGGCGGGUCAUGGGAAUAACGCCGCCGCAUCGCCAGUCGGCAUCGUUUAUGGUCGGAACUACGACGGUAUCUGAUCGUCUUCGAACCUCCGACUUUCGUUCUUGAUUAAUGAAAACAUUCUUGGCAAAUGCUUUCGCUCUGGUCCGUCUUGCGCCGGUCCAAGAAUUUCACCUCUAGCGGCGCAAUACGAAUGCCCCCGGCCGUCCCUCUUAAUCAUGGCCUCAGUUCCGAAAACCAACAAAAUAGAACCGCGGUCCUAUUCCAUUAUUCCUAGCUGCGGUAUCCAGGCGGCUCGGGCCUGCUUUGAACACUCUAAUUUUUUCAAAGUAAACGCUCCGGGCCCCGCGGGACACUCAGCUAAGAGCAUCGAGGGGGCGCCGAGAGGCAAGGGGCGGGGACGGGCGGUGGCUCGCCUCGCGGCGGACCGCCCGCCCGCUCCCAAGAUCCAACUACGAGCUUUUUAACUGCAGCAACUUUAAUAUACGCUAUGAAGCUGGAAUUACCGCAGCUGCUGGCACCAGACUUGCCCUCAAUGGAUGCUCGCGAAAGGAUUUAAAGUGGACUCAUUCCAAUUACAAGGGCCUCGAAAGAGUCCUGUAUUGUUAUUUUUCGUCACUACUCCCCGGGUCGGGAGUGGGUAAUUUGCGCGCCUGCUGCCUUCCUUGGAUGUGGUAGCCGUUUCUCAGGCUCCCUCUCCGGAAUCGAACCCUGAUUCCCCGUCACCCGUGGUCACCAUGGUAGGCACAGCGACUACCAUCGAAAGUUGAUAGGGCAGACGUUCGAAUGGGUCGUCGCCGCCACGGGGGGCGUGCGAUCGUCCCGAGGUUAUCUAGAGUCACCAAAACCGGCCGGCGCCCGCCCCCGGCCGGGGCCGGGAGGAGGCUGACCGGGUUGGUUUUGAUCUGAUAAAUGCACGCAUCCCCCCUGUGAAGGGGGUCAGCGCCCGUCGGCAUGUAUUAGCUCUAGAAUUACCACAGUUAUCCAAGUAGGAGAGGAGCGAGCGACCAAAGGAACCAUAACUGAUUUAAUGAGCCAUUCGCAGUUUCACUAUACCGGCCGUGCGUACUUAGACAUGCAUGGCUUAAUCUUUGAGACAAGCAUAUGCUACUGGCAGGAUCAACCAGGUAGGAGCGCGAGGGAGCCGGGAAGAGGCCGCGCACGCGCGCGCGCACACGCGCCGAGGCGGCGGCGGCGGCGGCGGCGGCGACCUCUCGCGGCACGGGCCGUGCGUGCCCGGGCGCGGGGCGUGACCCUCCCCCGACUCGGAGGGGGGAGGCGCCGGCCGCGGUAGGCAAAGAGCGGCUCUGCCCACGCGCCACGGUGGUGGCGUCCGUGGCUACUACGCGCAGAGGAGGGGCGGCGGCUGGGGGGUCCGGUACCCCAAGGCACCCUCUCGGAUCGCUAGAGAAGGCUUUCUCACCGAGGGCGUGUCGCCCCCGCCCAUCGUCCGCCAUCGGGCCCACCAAGGCGCUUACAGACACCAUGGCCACACAACGCAGGAGGGGUCUGCGGUAGAGGUAAGGCCUAGAGCAAGUCGGAGACUCCGUGGUCAGGGCCGCGAGCCCGAGCUGCCCCGGGCUCACCAUCUCCGGCCACACUGGGCUUAGCUAGGGAUCUAAAAGGCCCCUGUGCGGCUCCCAAGUCAGUGCCUCCCCUCAGGCCGAGACCAAGGGAGGCAGAGACUGGGACGGAGGUGCCGAUCAAACAGCACCUCCCAACCAAAGAGCCAGCAUCACGCCGCUGGCUCGGCCCACCACGAUCACUCCCACACCCGCGUGGAAACCCCAGCAAGGGGAACACGCGGGCACGCGCCCGAGCCUGCCCGCCCCCACACGGCACGCCGUGUGGGGGGCGACGUGGCACCCGUCCCCCCCGAGGGGGACGGGCACGCCUCCCUUACCGACUCGACCCCCCGCUUCUCAGACACACCAGCGCAGCGGUCACCUGAGGAGGGCGACGGGAACAGGGAACGACACCGCCACUCGGCCUCGGGCACCUGAGGGACGACCUGGAACACUCCAGGGGCACCGCCAACGGCCGGGGGAGCGCGCUCACGCGCCCAAGAAGGCGCGCGGCACGGCGGCAACACGGCCCGCCCCACCGUGGGGAGGGCCGCCCGCGAGACACAGCCAAGAGGCACAGGCGGAGCAUCCGCCGCGUCACGGAGACCCCGACACCGCCCACGCCACAAGGCACGGGGCGGGGGAGCGAGGUCGGGAGAGCACAGCAUCACCACAUCGAUCAGCAGCAUAACGCGAGGGAUCCCCGAGCAAGGGAAGGCCGGCGAGGACAGCGAGCGGAGGAGCCUGCUUCAGCCUCACCGGCCCCCCUCCUCCUCCAGCAAGCGCGGGCGACGACCCCAGGACGAGAACGCCUGACACGCACUGGCACGGAGCCGGUGGGACGGGGUAAGUCGCGACCGCACCCGGCUGCCGGCGGGGAGUGCACGUGGUAGAGGACCCCGCGCCCCUAACCCCGCCGCCCUCGGGUACCAGAGACCGGAGGUGGCACCACGGUCGCGGGGACGCCUGGAACGCACAAGAGCCGGCGCGCAGGCCCCAGCGGGCGGCUCCAGUGGCGGGGGUGGAAACGGGCGUCCGGUUCUCGGCCAGAGCCCGGAGACCUCCCCGCACACGCAUCCAGGCACCCAGAAGCUCUCGGGCGACUGUCACCCGAGCAGAGCGUGUCAGCA
ensembl:lncRNA